AACGAACGCUGGCGGCAUGCCUAACACAUGCAAGUCGAACGGGGAUCCUAGCUUGCUAGGUGAGAGUGGCGGACGGGUGAGUAACACGUGGGAAUCUGCCUUUUUGGUUCGGGAUAACCGCGGGAAACUGCGGGCUAAUACCGAAUGCCCUCGAGAGAGGAAAGAUUUAUCGCCAGAAAGAGGAGCCCGCGUCCGAUUAGGAGUUGGUGGGGUAAAGGCCUACCAAGCCGACGAUCGGUAGCUGGUCUGAGAGGAUGAUCAGCCACACUGGGACUGAGAUACGGCCCAGACUCCUACGGGAGGCAGCAGUGGGGAA
rnacentral:rRNA from 1 species